AUUGAACGCUGGCGGCAGGCCUUACACAUGCAAGUCGAACGAGUGGCGGACGGGUGAGUAAUUUCUGGGAAACUGCCUGAUGGAGGGGGAUCACUACUGGAAACGGUAGCUAAUACCGCAUACCCUCGGAUGUGCCCAGAUGGGAUUAGCUAGUAGGUGGGGUAACGGCUCACCUAGUCGACGAUCCCUAGCUGGUCUGAGAGGACGACCAGCCACACGGGAACUGAGACACGGUCCAGAAUCCUACGGGAGGCAGCAGUGGGGAAUAUUGCACAAUGGGCGCAAGCCUGAUGCAGCCAUGCCGCGUGUAUGAAGAAGGCCUUAGGGUUGUAAAGUACUUUCAGAGGGGAGGCGUUACCCGCAGAAGAAGAACCGGCGAACUCCGUGCCAGCAGCCGCGGUAAUUC
rnacentral:rRNA from 1 species